rnacentral:rRNA from 1 species
UAGCUUGCUAUCAGGCGUCGAGCGGCGGACGGGUGAGUAAUACUUAGGAAUCUACCUAGUAGUGGGGGAUAGCACGGGGAAACUCGUAUUAAUACCGCAUACGACCUACGGGAGAAAGGGGGCAGUUUACUGCUCUCGCUAUUAGAUGAGCCUAAGUCGGAUUAGCUAGAUGGUGGGGUAAAGGCCUACCAUGGCGACGAUCUGUAGCUGGUCUGAGAGGAUGAUCAGCCACACCGGGACUGAGACACGGCCCGGACUCCUACGGGAGGCAGCAGUGGGGAAUAUUGGACAAUGGGGGAAACCCUGAUCCAGCCAUGCCGCGUGUGUGAAGAAGGCCUUUUGGUUGUAAAGCACUUUAAGCAGUGAAGAAGACUCCGUGGUUAAUACCCACGGACGAUGACAUUAGCUGCAGAAUAAGCACCGGCUAACUCUGUGCCAGCAGCCGCGGUAAUACAGAGGGUGCAAGCGUUAAUCGGAAUUACUGGGCGUAAAGGGAGCGUAGGUGGCUCGAUAAGUCAGAUGUGAAAUCCCCGGGCUCAACCUGGGAACUGCAUCUGAUACUGUUGAGCUAGAGUAUGUGAGAGGAAGGUAGAAUUCCAGGUGUAGCGGUGAAAUGCGUAGAGAUCUGGAGGAAUACCGAUGGCGAAGGCAGCCUUCUGGCAUAAUACUGACACUGAGGCUCGAAAGCGUGGGUAGCAAACAGGAUUAGAUACCCUGGUAGUCCACGCCGUAAACGAUGUCUACUAGUCGUUGGGUCCCUUGAGGACUUAGUGACGCAGCUAACGCAAUAAGUAGACCGCCUGGGGAGUACGGCCGCAAGGUUAAAACUCAAAUGAAUUGACGGGGGCCCGCACAAGCGGUGGAGCAUGUGGUUUAAUUCGAUGCAACGCGAAGAACCUUACCUGGUCUUGACAUAUCUAGAAUCCUGCAGAGAUGCGGGAGUGCCUUCGGGAAUUAGAAUACAGGUGCUG